GAUGAACGCUGGCGGCGUGCCUAAUACAUGCAAGUCGAGCGAACGGACGAGAAGCUUGCUUCUCUGAUGUUAGCGGCGGACGGGUGAGUAACACGUGGAUAACCUACCUAUAAGACUGGGAUAACUUUGGGAAACCGGAGCUACUACCGGAUGAUCUUUUGCACCGCAUGGUUCCAAAGUCAAAGACGGUCUUGCUGUCACUUAUAGAUGGAUCCGCGCUGCAUUAGCUAGUUGGUAAGGUAACGGCUUACCAAGGCAACGAUGCAUAGCCGACCCGAGAGGGUGAUCGGCCACACUGGAACUGAGACACGGUCCAGACUCCGACGGGAGGCAGCAGUAGGGAAUCCUCCGCAAUGGGCGAAAGCCUGACGGAGCGACGCCGCGUGAGUGAUGAAGGUCUUCGGAUCGUAGAACGCUGUAAUUAGGGAAGAACAUAUGUGUAAGUAACUGUGCACAUCUUGACGGUACCUAAUCAGAAAGCCACGGCUAACUACGUG
rnacentral:rRNA from 1 species